CAAUGACUCUCGGCAACGGAUAUCUCGGCUCUCGCAUCGAUGAAGAACGUAGCGAAAUGCGAUACUUGGUGUGAAUUGCAGAAUCCCGUGAACCAUCGAGUCUUUGAACGCAAGUUGCGCCCAAAGUUUCGGCUAAGGGCACGUCUGCCUGGGUGUCACGCA
rnacentral:rRNA from 1 species